GGAGAAAUUCAAUACCGCCAAUGCAAAUUGGCAGUGUGCACUUUUCUUCCAGUAAGACGCUGUGAUCCAUUAGAAAUUGGACCAUGCCAAUGGUUGAUGGGCUAUCAAAAGGCUGACGUGAAGUUUGGCGGUGCAAAUGGUGCGAUCUUUUACGGUUGUGUGUAUUGCCUACCAAGCAUGUCAUCACCUGAAAUAGCUGUCUGAUGGAUUUUAAAGGUCAUAUUACUGAUGUUACGGCAUCACCCAUUACGAUGGGAGUGGAUAUGUGCCCGAUCAACAGCGGUUAAAUUUGUGAUACCUUUGGGACCCGUCUUGAAACACGGACCAAGGAGUCUAUCUAGUAUGCAAGUAAAUGGGUAUGUGAAACCUAUUUGCGUAAAAAACUUGACUUGCUCGAAUGGGAUUACGAGUUGUGUUCGCGCACAGCUCCUCCAUCCCGGGGUAUUUUCGUCAACAUAUGCAGCAAUGUAUAUGGGAAAUAUACCAUGAGCGUACUGGAUAUGACCCGAAAGAUGGUGAACUAUGCCUGAUCAGGUUGAAGUCAGGGGAAACCCUGAUGGAGGACCGUAGUUGUUCUGACGUGCAAAUCGAUAACGCGAGUUGGGCAUAGGGGCGAAAGACCAAUCGAACCAUCUAGUA
rnacentral:rRNA from 1 species